AUAACCCGACCCAUUCUCCCAAAUCUCCUAUAUUCCCAUCUACCCAUUCUCCCAAAUAUCUUUAUUCUCUCCGUCAAAAGCUUGCCUAAAAACAAAUUGAUGAGUUGAAGCCUGGAACAGGAGUAACAGUCGGGAGGGGUUGCAGUGGUGACUAAUGAGGAAACACAGAGGGUGAGGGCAGUAAAGGGGGAAAAGAAGCAAGGGGCAUGUAGAAGAACGACAAAGAGGAGGGGAGAACGGUGCAGCGGAAACAUGAAUCUUACGCCAACUGUGUUUAUGCUUCAGCUGAUAUAUUCAUGCUAUACAAAUAUUUUCCAUUUAAAUAUCCAAGCUUAUAUUCUAUCAUAGUUCUCAUACAACAUUUAUCUAUUUGGGUGUUGAACAAAAAUAUGAGCUCUUUACAGUUAGCUUUAUUGAAAACAUACAUAUUUUGCUUUUGUCUUAAGAGAAAAGAACAAUCCUAUAUGCUUUUGCCUUAUGAAACUAGGUUGUCUUUUUUUCUAACUCAUUAAUUUGUUCUUAGGCUUACCUUGUGAGGGAGAGUACGAAGGAAUUUUGUGAGAAUGGGUAGAUGAGAAUAUAGGAGAUUUGGUAGAAUGGGUCGGGUUCUUUUAAAUGGGGUUAGGUUAUUGGGUUAAAAUAAGAUUUUUUUUUUAAAAAAAAUUUCGGGUCAAUUUGAGUCAAUCGGUCAAAUGGGAGUAAAUUUAGUGAAAUUAGUAACGAAGGUUAAAAAUUAACUUCAUUUCACAGUAUUCCGGAAUGUAGAAUGUUCUUCUCCAAAAUUUGGGCGAUAAAUGUUGCCUCUCCUGGUUCUGUCUCUAUAGCUUCUCAACACCAACAAUGGCCAAGAACAAGUACCACAGUCAUCAAGAAUACCUAAUAGUGCUGAAAUUACUUCAAGUCACGAUGCAGGUUAAGGGACAGAUUGACAAUUCUUGCAACGGUUUGGACAUCAGCAUUUUUCCAGACCAUUUGAGGCUUGUUUGCGACCCCUGGAGGUCAACGAUGCCGGUUGCGAUUCAGAUUUCAGAAUUCGAUUCGUGACAUGCAGCCUUUUGUUGGAGAGGAGAGGUUACAUAGACCAGAAAAUAUAGAGAGCCCAAUCGACCCAUUUGAUUGAGGUGAUUUUUGCUUAGGAGUGAUGACCGGACGAACAACUUGCUUGGUUAUGAAAUAGGAUGAAAAAUAAAUGCUCACCGAUUUGCGCGCCAGCUGAUAACAUUUAUUUUGGUGUUGCAACGUGAACUUUGGAUAUGGAGGGUGAGCUGAUGACGUCUUAGUUCUACUCAUCUCCAUUUGCAUAUAGUUUUUGUCUAGUCUUUUGUAUUCAAGAUAAGUCCGUCUUAUAUAGGUUAUUUUGUAGCUUGUACUCUUUUUAGUAGAUUUGUACCUUCAACCACUUGUUCGAUGAAUGGAUCUUGUACUAUUGUAUAGAUACUUAUUUCAUUCAUUUUUUUUCGCUGUCUA